UUGGAAUCCUAAUCCCUUCAGGAAGGAAGUUUUUCCCUGGAUGCCACACCAAACCUAAAUGGCAGAAACAGUUCCUGGGAUUAGGUGCAGGUUGUAAUGUAACGGGAAAGAACCCUGGAAAAGUGACCUGUGUUUCGAUGUGAAAAUUUAAAGGCUUCAGGCAAGAUGCUUUGGUGAUUUGGCCUCGGUCUCCUCAACACAGAAUGAAAGGGAUGAACCGAACAAGGCCUUUUAAGCUCGAGAGGGUCUGAGGAGAGAACACGCUAUCUGUAAGUUUCACGUCGCCUGAAACUUAGAGGAGACACCUGUGCCACCGCACAAACGUUGCUAGGGAAAUAGCAGACGGAAUGCUUCCGAGUAGCCAGUCGGUGUGCACGCUCCCCCGCCCCACCACCAGAGGGCGGUGUGACUGGCAAAUGAAGUGCAGAAGACGCAUCUGCCGUGGAGGUUGCCGGGGACAGCGGCUGAUGAGGCCUUCUCAUGGGACAGGAUCUGACCACCCACCUCCCCUGGAUAAAACGGGAUUAAAGAAACUUUGAAGAAACGAGAUUCGGCUGCAGAACAGCAGCUGUCAGACCCUCUGUCCUCUCUUGAGUGCUCUGAGCGGUUCGUGGACCCCACUUCCCCGGCAGCAGAUGGUGGAGAGAAAUCAGUGAGGUUUUUGGGAGGCACAAUUCUGCCUCGGUGCGUUUACUCCUCUUCUUCAUUUUCCUUUUCCUUUCCUCUCUUGCCCUCACUUCCAUAAACUCACAGUACAAUAUCUUUUCUUUACAUUUGUAUAGUUCUUUAAUAUUUGAAACAUAAUUUCACUGGUACUUUUUGAUUUGCACAUCCUCAUAGCAGUCCUAUGAUAGAUAAUAAAACUUUAUUUUACGGAAGUUGAAAAGAUUGAGAAAUUCAAGUUCUCAUUACAUUCCCAAGUCAUGGUAUACUUUUGGGUUUUUUGUUUGCUUGUUUUUUGAGACAGUCUCACUCUGUCACCCAGGCUGCAGUGCAGUGGUGCAAUCAUAGCUCACUGCAACCUUGACCUCCCUGGCUCGAGGGAUCCUCCCGCUUCAGCCUCCCAAGUAACUGGGACUACAGGUGCUCGCGGCUAUGCCCGGCUAAUUCGAAAAAAAAAUUUGCAGAAAUGGGGGUCUCACUGUGUUGCCCAGGCUUGUCUCAAACUCCUGGACUCAAGUUUUCCUCCCACUUCAGCCUCCCAAAGUGCUGGGAUUACAGGUGAGAGCCAUUGCAAACAGCCUAACAGGGCAUACUUUUAAAUAAACUUCUGUCUGACUAGAAGUUAGUUUUACCUUCACUGUGCAGGGGACAUACGCUUAGGGGCUUAGCAUUUUUCUAUUUCGGGGGAUUUUCCUAUUUUCCUGUAUAUUUGUGUGAUGUAGUGCUUGCCUACUUGACUGGGGCAGGGAGGACACACAGAGAGGGACGGAUGCAUGUCAUGCAUGUUUCUCCAACACAUGCAUCUGCGACUGGACGAGGUGAGGGGUGAGACAGUGGCUUUCAAGGUCAAGGGUUUCACCAUUUGGCCAGGCUGGCCUCGAACUCCUGACCUCAAGUGAUCCACUUGCCUCGGUAUCCCACAGUGCUUGGAUUACAGACGUGAGCCACCACGCCUGGCAGCCUGUGCUAUUUCUGAGCUGGUUUUGAUUGGUUGAUUUUUCUCCUUAUUAUGGGUCAUGUUUUCCUACUUCUUUACCUGCUUGGUCAUUUUUGAUUGGAUGCCACACAUUGUACAUUUUACCUUGUGUAUUUCUGUAAAUUUUUUUUUUUAUUUUUUUUUUUUUUAUGACAUACAGGUAAUUUAUUUGGAAGCAGAUCGCUCCAUUUGGAUCUGAUGUUUGAGCUUUUGUAGGCAGGACCAGAUCAAUGUUUAGCUGGAGGCUAAUUUUACCCCACUUUGGAGACAUACCCUUUCUGAGGACUCCCUCUGAUUCCCCAUGAACUUUGAUUUUUUUUCCCCCCACUUUGGCUGCUGGUAAUAGGAACUGUUUCUGGCUCUGUAGGAGCACCACAUAUUUUUGUUGUUGUUGUUGUUGUUCUCCAAACUUUUCAGAUCAUAGUUUCUCUAAACCUGCCCUCUCAUGCAUAUGCUGAUUAGUGAAAGACUUAAUCCAUUCAUGCCUGAGGUUGCAAUUUUUUGAAUUUUUGCAAUCAGACCUUGGUGAUGACCUUGAAGAGUAGGAUAUAAAUAACUCCCAGAUGUUUAGCAUUCCAAUAAUGGAACACUAGGCAAAAAUAGGUUUUAAGGGGGACCCAGUGCAGAUCCCCAGGGCAUGUGUGCUCUCUCUCUUCCAAAGCUUUCUCCUGCACAGAACCUGCCCCACACAGGCUAACACCUUGGCCUUCUCAGGCUCUCAGCCCCAUCUCCUCAAUUCAGAGAGACCACUGGGCUCCUCCUGGGCUUCCUUCCCUGCAGCACAGCCUGCAAAUUCUCUCCAGGCCAUAACCUAAGGCAAUU
ensembl:lincRNA